UAACCACUGUAUCAUUCCCCUUUCUGGUCUC
rnacentral:piRNA from 2 species